AUGACCACUGAGACCAAGGAGAGACUUCCUAGAGCUUCUGCAGAAGUUCUUCCCCCACCUUCUGGAAGAGAUCCUGGAAACUCCUCAGUGUUCUUUAUGAUGCAAGCUCAGAACCGCUGCCAGCCUAGGAAUGCAGCCCACUAAGGAGAGAAGAGCCACAGAAACACAAAAACAAGGCCAUGAGGUUGUGUCACUCAGAAGCCAUUCAACCUUAGACUUCCAGUUUCACAAGCCAGUAAAAUCCUUAUGGUUGAAGCCAGUUUGAGUUGGAUACUUUUGUCACAUAGCUGAAAUAUCCUGGAGAAAAGAAGGAAGGUGGGGAGGAGGGUGAGAAGAAGGAAGAAGAGAAAGAGAAGGAGGGGGACAAGAAGAAAUGAAAAGGUUCUAUUACAAUCCAUCUUUUUCCAUUCUUAUCUCAUGCAGCCUCUCCACAGUGAAUAGCAGGAAGGAGCACAAUCUUGUUUACCUGCCCGAAUAGGGUGUGCCCUGCAUCUCCACAUCAGCUGGUAAAGAGCUUUUGCUUGAGAAACAGAGGGCUGUAUAAAAGAGAAAGGGAAAGGGUCCUAACCAUGGAACUCAGGCUUUAAAGGAGAAACCCAGAUCCUACGGAAGUAGAGGAGGCAGGAACUGCUGGCUCUCCUUCUGUUCUGUGGCUUUCCUGGGCCAUGUUUU
rnacentral:lncRNA from 10 species